ACGCUGGCGGCGUGCCUAAUACAUGCAAGUAGAACGCUGAAGAGAGGAGCUUGCUCUUCUUGGAUGAGUUGCGAACGGGUGAGUAACGCGUAGGUAACCUGCCUUGUAGCGGGGGAUAACUAUUGGAAACGAUAGCUAAUACCGCAUAACAAUGGAUGACACAUGUCAUUUAUUUGAAAGGGGCAAUUGCUCCACUACAAGAUGGACCUGCGUUGUAUUAGCUAGUAGGUGAGGUAAUGGCUCACCUAGGCGACGAUACAUAGCCGACCUGAGAGGGUGAUCGGCCACACUGGGACUGAGACACGGCCCAGACUCCUACGGGAGGCAGCAGUAGGGAAUCUUCGGCAAUGGGGGCAACCCUGACCGAGCAACGCCGCGUGAGUGAAGAAGGUUUUCGGAUCGUAAAGCUCUGUUGUAAGUCAAGAACGGGUGUGAGAGUGGAAAGUUCACACUGUGACGGUAGCUUACCAGAAAGGGACGGCUAACUAGUGCCAGCAGCCGCGGUAAUACGUAGGUCCCGAGCGUUGUCCGGAUUUAUUGGGCGUAAAGCGAGCGCAGGCGGUUUGAUAAGUCUGAAGUUAAAGGCUGUGGCUCAACCAUAGUUCGCUUUGGAAACUGUCAAACUUGAGUGCAGAAGGGGAGAGUGGAAUUCCAUGUGUAGCGGUGAAAUGCGUAGAUAUAUGGAGGAACACCGGUGGCGAAAGCGGCUCUCUGGUCUGUAACUGACGCUGAGGCUCGAAAGCGUGGGGAGCGAACAGGAUUAGAUACCCUGGUAGUCCACGCCGUAAACGAUGAGUGCUAGGUGUUGGAUCCUUUCCGGGAUUCAGUGCCGCAGCUAACGCAUUAAGCACUCCGCCUGGGGAGUACGACCGCAAGGUUGAAACUCAAAGGAAUUGACGGGGGCCCGCACAAGCGGUGGAGCAUGUGGUUUAAUUCGAAGCAACGCGAAGAACCUUACCAGGUCUUGACAUCCCGAUGCUAUUUCUAGAGAUAGAAAGUUACUUCGGUACAUCGGUGACAGGUGGUGCAUGGUUGUCGUCAGCUCGUGUCGUGAGAUGUUGGGUUAAGUCCCGCAACGAGCGCAACCCCUAUUGUUAGUUGCCAUCAUUCAGUUGGGCACUCUAGCGAGACUGCCGGUAAUAAACCGGAGGAAGGUGGGGAUGACGUCAAAUCAUCAUGCCCCUUAUGACCUGGGCUACACACGUGCUACAAUGGUUGGUACAACGAGUUGCGAGUCGGUGACGGCGAGCUAAUCUCUUAAAGCCAAUCUCAGUUCGGAUUGUAGGCUGCAACUCGCCUACAUGAAGUCGGAAUCGCUAGUAAUCGCGGAUCAGCACGCCGCGGUGAAUACGUUCCCGGGCCUUGUACACACCGCCCGUCACACCACGAGAGUUUGUAACACCCGAAGUCGGUGAGGUAACCUUUUGGAGCCAGCCGCCUA
rnacentral:rRNA from 1 species